CCUGCGGAAGGAUCAUUAUUG
rnacentral:rRNA from 1 species